GUCCCUAUACCACAAUGGAUAGCGUGUUGAACUUCUAAUCCAAAGGUUGUGAGUUCGAAACUCACCUGGGAUG
rnacentral:tRNA from 1 species